CUGAACCAUCUUCGACUUAGUUUUAGUCGCUAACAAGAGUGAAAUAAAAAGCGCCAAGACGGACGCCUAGUUGGAUCUGUUGCUGUUGGACCAUGUUUGGUGAACUCUGUUCAUGGAUACUGUCCUCUCUCGUCCCCUCUGACAGAGCAACGGAGGCCACUUUUAUGAGCCUGGAUUUAUAGACUCCUUGCAGAAUUUCCAAAGAAAGCUGUGGUGCAAUUUUUUCCACAGCGAAGUGCUUUGUCCGGAGAAGUAAAAUGUCCUUGCCCUCAAUAUCAAGUUGCACCGUUGCAGUCAGGCAGUUCAUUUUAUGGACCCGGCGUCCACAGCUCCUGCACCAGAAGCCAGUUUGGUGACAAAAAUUCUGUUGAUGCCACACCUCUGUGGUGUCAAGGACAGGUGGCACAUAUAAACCCGAAGAGGAAUGUGUUUGUAUUUGUCCGCCUUGAAUAACAGUUUGUUUCCUGGAGCAGGGAAUGAAGCAGUAUUAUUACUGUAGUUAUGCCAAGCCCUGCCUUACUUCUUUGACAAAGCCAGUGAUUAAAUCUGUAUCUGACAAGAAGUUACUACUGAAACGUGUCUAACAAGCCGAGCUUUUAUUCUUGUUGUAAGUUUUAUUCAGAGGUGUAU